GGAUGCGAUCAUACCAGCACUAAAGCACCGGAUCCCAUCAGAACUCCGAAGUUAAGC
rfam:Triticum aestivum genome assembly, contig: Triticum_aestivum_CS42_TGACv1_scaffold_430309_5BS